ensembl:lncRNA
AAGCUGUGGAGUGAAGCCACCAUGAAGAAUGGUGAGAGACCCACUGGAUGGGCUAUGGUGGAGAAAGGGGGGGUUCUGGAUUAAAGGGCAAAUUACUACACAAUCUGAUGUUCCUGCCAAGGUCUAUACUGACAGCGCCUACGCAUAUCAUUCACUUCAUACCGGGGUCCAGUUUGGUAAAGUUGUCAUUUGACCACAGCAGCAGGCCUUGAUUGCCCAUCAGGCUGACAUUUCAGUCAAACUUCUGAUGCUCUGACACACUUAAGCCCUUCCAAGUGUUAUUACAUCACAGUACACAGUGUACAAGCGAAGGACGCUGAUCUGGUAGAGAGGUGUUAUUACAUCACAGGACACAGUGUACAAGCGAAGGACGCUGAUCUGACGGAGAGGUGUUAUUACAUCACAGGACACAGUGUACAAGCGAAG